AGUCAGUACGACCGGUUCUGGUACGAUCACCGAAGUUAAGCAACAUUGAGACUUGUCAGUACCAAGAUGGUUGAUCGCUUGGAAAUACCAGGUGCUGUAA